rnacentral:lncRNA from 1 species
GAACAGUGUACUUCCUGGGCUGGCAAGGGCAUACGGAACUCCGUGGAAGCUGCAGUGUACAUCGGAGAGGCACAGUUUAUGACUGAAAUCUCAGCAGGUAGAAGGCUGGAGAAGGAUUAAGAGAUCAACCACAGUCCACCCUACGUAUCGUAUCGGGAGUGAGUCUCGAGCAAACAAAGAAGUUAACCAAUAACAAGAGCCACUGGGGUUGCAGUGUGGAAGUUAGUGUAAAGGAAGAAAUCAGAGGCAGGAGGAAUUGCUGAUAAAGUACUAGAGUCACUCCAGGUAGAGGAGAAGCUGAGGAGACCGGGCAGGAACCAGGUUGAUCCUUCAAUCAAGUGCAAUUCCAUAGAUGUAGAACCGUGACUGAGUUUACUAUCUACUCCACUUUAAAUAUUUGCUGAGCAAUAUAGGAAAAUAUAAAGAACAGUAUAUGUCUUCUUCUUUCCC